rnacentral:tRNA from 1 species
CAGAAGAUAGUUUAAUUUAGAAUUCUGGCUUUGGGAGCCAGGGGUGGGAGUUAAAAUCUCCUUUUUCUGGG